AUUGUUGGAGCUGCUCUUCGCACACAUUUUGUGAGCAGCCGCUCCGAGAGUCCCUCUUCUCAGACCGCAAACAUCGCCUUCAUCGCCUGUAAUGUUCUGGCGCUCCUCUUCUCUCUGAUCAUCAUCAUGACCUCGUGCUGCUGGUGUAGAUCGAGAAAGCGUCUGAUGGUGAUCCACAUGAACACAGCUUCAGCUGCAGAGCUCAGUGAUGACGUGGAUUAUCCGUGUCCAGAACUUUCACCGCCAGCCUAUAGUCCGGUUCCGUCUUCAGAACCGCCGGCCUACGAGGAGGAACGACGCUCGACUCUCUCUGGAGUUUCUACUCAGAAGUGGGCAAUGAGGAAAUGGAAAGAAGAACUGCAGCGCAGCAGAAAACCCAUCCAAGUCUGACCCGGGUCAUUUAUUUCUAUGCUCUGAAGUAGAGCUGUAGUGACUUUAGGGACCUAUAGACAACAGUCACUGGUGGAUGUCACAGAACUUCCUGGACGACAUCAACAUUGUCCUUGUUUUUAAAAAUAGCCACAUUAAAAGGUUUUAAGUCAUGCUUCCACAAAUUAAGGCUUAAAAGAGCAAAGAAGGUUGUGGCAUUAAAUGUUGCAUGAACUGCACAAAUGAAUAUCUUCAGUAUUUUUGUCUAAGUGCUAAUAUCUAAACAUCCUGAAAUCAAGAUAUGAAGUCUUGCUUUUUUAAAGAUGUUUAUCAAUAUGAAGGGAGUUUAAGGGGAAUGAAAACUGGUUUCCCUUUGAAUUUGAAGUAGAUUUUAAUCUGUUGGACCUGUGUUUUCAUGCUUUGAAGUGUUGCUAAUAUUGUGCUCAUGUGUUCUCCUCAGACAUUUACUUUGAGAACACAGCGAAGUAAUGAGUUCUCUUUCAUUUAUUCUUUUUUUUUUUAUCAGAAAAGUCUUAAAUUUAUAUUCAUAAAACUUGCUGAAACCCUGAAAUACAAGAUUUUACAAUUAUUUGAGGAAAGGAAAUAAUGUUUAUGACACAGUUUGUGUCAGAUUUUGAAAAAUGUGUGUUUGGUGAGUAGUUUUAGAGAGUAUUUCAGUAUUUGGAUCAGGAGCUGUACUUGCAUGACUGAAAAUAACCGUCCCAAGUUGACCGCUGAGAUAUUAUGAUAUUUGUUCAUCUCUGAACAGUUAGAAACUCAGCAAAAGUGCUUCUGCUUUACCUCAGACUCUUCACAUGUUCUUCUUGUGUGCGAUGUUAACUAUUUAAUGCUAGUUUUUAGUUUCUUUUGAAUGCUUAUGUAGACUUUGUAAACUGUUUUGAAGAUGCACUAUAAAGUUCAUGUAUUGUUAGUCUUGUUGUGUUUGAUUUCUCUCAGAAAGCUUUCUCAACCCAACACUAACAGAAACCAACAGACCUCUUGAAGACAUUCGUCCAAUCUAAUGAAUCUUUCUGGGUAACAUGUUCUGGUUGGUUUCUCAUCAGUGUUUUGCAUCUGAUUCAUUCAUGAGCUGUUGGAGAAAUUGCAUGAUUGUAUUGAAAUGAUGUUGUUAUAGAUGUCAAUGACUACCAGCAAUCGGUUGGUUAACGACAUUCUUCAAAAUAUCAUCUGUUGUGUUCAGCAGCUGAAAUAAAUUCAUACAGGGUUGGAAUAAGUGGAUGAUG
ensembl:lncRNA